rnacentral:rRNA from 1 species
UACGGGGGGGGCAAGCGUUGUCCGGAUUUAUUGGGCGUAAAGAGCGUGUAGGCGGCUAGGUAGGUCCGUUGUGAAAACUCGAGGCUCAACCUCGAGACGCCGGUGGAAACCAUCUAGCUAGAGUCCGGAAGAGGAGAGUGGAAUUCCUGGUGUAGCGGUGAAAUGCGCAGAUAUCAGGAAGAACACCCGUGGCGAAGGCGGCUCUCUGGGACGGUACUGACGCUGAGACGCGAAAGCGUGGGGAGCAAACGGG